rnacentral:rRNA from 1 species
ACACGUGAGCAAUGUGCCCUUGACUCUGGAAUAAGCGCUGGAAACGGCGUCUAAUACCGGAUACGACCUUCGGAGGCAUCUCCUGUUGGUGGAAAGAACUUCGGUCAAGGAUCAGCUCACGGCCUAUCAGCUUGUUGGUGAGGUAACGGCUCACCAAGGCGACGACGGGUAGCCGGCCUGAGAGGGUGACCGGCCACACUGGGACUGAGACACGGCCCAGACUCCUACGGGAGGCAGCAGUGGGGAAUAUUGCACAAUGGGCGCAAGCCUGAUGCAGCAACGCCGCGUGAGGGACGACGGCCUUCGGGUUGUAAACCUCUUUUAGCAGGGAAGAAGCGAAAGUGACGGUACCUGCAGAAAAAGCACCGGCUAACUACGUGCCAGCAGCCGCGGUAAUACGUAGGGUGCAAGCGUUGUCCGGAAUUAUUGGGCGUAAAGAGCUCGUAGGCGGUUUGUCGCGUCUGCUGUGAAAUCCCGAGGCUCAACCUCGGGCUUGCAGUGGGUACGGGCAGACUAGAGUGC